UACGGAGGGUGCGAGCGUUGUCCGGAAUUACUGGGCGUAAAGCGCUCGUAGGUGGUUUGUCGCGUUGUUCGUGAAAACUCACAGCUUAACUGUGGGCGUGCGGGCGAUACGGGCAGACUUGAGUACUGCAGGGGAGACUGGAAUUCCUGGUGUAGCGGUGGAAUGCGCAGAUAUCAGGAGGAACACCGGUGGCGAAGGCGGGUCUCUGGGCAGUAACUGACGCUGAGGAGCGAAAGCGUGGGGAGCGAACAGG
rnacentral:rRNA from 1 species